CAAAAACAUGUCCUUUUGAUUUUAAUUUAAGGUCUGACCUGCCCUCUGAUUAUUUGAAUGGCCGCGGUACUUUGACCGUGCAAAGGUAGCAUAAUAAUUAGUUUUUUAAUUGAAAGCUGGUAUGAAUGGUUGGAUAAAGGAAUAACUGUCUCUUUCUAAAUUUUUUAGAAUUUUAUUUUUAAGUUAGAAAGCUUAAAUGUUUUUAAAAGACGAGAAGACCCUAUAGAGUUUUAUAUAUUAUAAAUAUUAAUUUUUUUGGAAAUUAUUAACUUUAUUAUUAUACUGUAUUUUGUUGGGGCGAUUGAAAAAUUAAUUAAACUUUUUCUUUAUUAUAACAUUAAUUUAUGAUUUUUUGAUCCAUUGUUAGUGAUUAUAAGAUAAAAUUACCUUAGGGAUAACAGCGUAAUCUUUUUUGAGAGUUCUUAUCGAAAAGAGGGGUUGCGACCUCGAUGUUGGAUUAAAAUUAAUUUUUGGUGUAGAAGCUAAAACUAGUAGCCGCCGUAGCAGACUC
rnacentral:rRNA from 1 species